UACGUAGGGGGCGAGCGUUAUCCGGAUUCAUUGGGCGUAAAGCGCGCGUAGGCGGCCCGGCAGGCCGGGGGUCGAAGCGGGGGGCUCAACCCCCCGAAGCCCCCGGAACCUCCGCGGCUUGGGUCCGGUAGGGGAGGGUGGAACACCCGGUGUAGCGGUGGAAUGCGCAGAUAUCGGGUGGAACACCGGUGGCGAAGGCGGCCCUCUGGGCCGAGACCGACGCUGAGGCGCGAAAGCUGGGGGAGCGAACAGGAUUAGAUACCCUGGUAGUCCCAGCCGUAAACGAUGGACGCUAGGUGUGGGGGGACGAUCCCCCCGUGCCGCAGCCAACGCAUUAAGCGUCCCGCCUGGGGAGUACGGCCGCAAGGCUAAA
rnacentral:rRNA from 1 species